UUUUUAGAUUAUAAAAUGACCAUACAAAUUAAUGAUUACAUGUAAAUGAGAAAAAAAUAUGACUAUAUUUCUCAAAUUUGUCUACAUUCUCAUCCUAUUUAUUUAUCUACUUCUUGUGGUAAAUGGAGGCAAAGUAUUUUGUGUUUUAAAUUAUAGUAUCUCGCAAAUGUAAAACACACGCCGAUUGCAAAGACUAUUGUGUCUCACCUGCACUUCCCCAGUGCAUUUGGAUGAAAUGUUAUUGUGUUUAAUCAGAGAGUACAUAUCAAUCA